rnacentral:lncRNA from 1 species
GCCCUUUGUGGCUCACAUCUCCCAGUCUAGACUCUAGAUGAGAAGCCAGUUGAUGAAAUCCAUCUUUUCUGUCUCUCCUUCUCUCUCCCCUUCCCUCUCUCCCUCUCUCUCUCAUUUUCUCUGUCUCUCCCUCUUUGUCUGUUUCUACCUCUCCUUCUCUCUCUCUCACUAUCUCUCUCUCCUUCUGUCUCUUUCUCCCUAUCAUUUUCUCUCUCUCUCCUCUCUCUACCUCUGUCUCUCCCUCUCCUUCUCUCACUAUCUCUCUCUUCUCACUGUCUUUCUCCCUCUCCUCUAUUUCUCUUCUGUCUCUUUCUCACUCUCCUCUCUAUCUCUCUCUCCUUCUCUCUGUCUCUUUCUCCCUCUCUCAUUUUCUCUCUCUCCUUCUCUCUGUGUCUCUCCCUCUCCUUCUCUCACUAUCUCUCUCUUCUCUGCCUCUUUCUCCCUCUCCUCUCUAUCUUCUCUUCUCUCUUUCUCCCUCUCCUCUCACUAUCUCUCUCUCCCUCUUUCUCUCCCUCUCCUCUCUCACUAUCUCUCUCACUCUAUUUCUCCCUCUUCUCUCUGUCUCUCCCUCUCCUUCUCUCUCUCCUUCCUCUCUCACACUCUCUCUCUCCCACUAUCUCUCUCACUCUUUCUCCCUCUUCUUUCUCUCUCUCUGUCUCUCCCUCUCUGUGUGUCUGUCUCUCCCUCUCCUUCUCUCUCUCCUUCCUCUCUCCCACUCUCUCCCACUAUCUCUCUCACUCUGUCUCUUUCUCCCUCUUCUUUUUCUCUCUCCUUCUCUCUCUCUGUCUCUCCCUCUCUGUGUCUCUGUCUCUCCCUCUCCUUCUCUGUCUCUCCCUCCUCUCUCCCACUCUCUGUGUCUCUCCCACUCUCUCUCACUCUCUUUCUCCCUCUCCUUCUCUCUCUCUCACUAUCUCUCUCUCCUUCUCUGUCUCUCCCUCUCUGUCUCUGUCUCUCCCUCUCCUUCUCUCUCUCUCCCUCCUCUCUCCCUCUCUCUGUGUCUCUCCCUCUCCUCUCUCUCACUAUCUCGCUCACUCUCUCUGUCUCUGUCUCAGAUCUCUGUGUGAAGAGCUGGGGUCCCCCCACCAAAUAUGGAUUGAGUUCUCCUGAAUCCCCCAGCCCUAAGAGCCUUCUAUACCAUUUGGUCUUGAACUGCUCCAAUGGUGGGGAGGUGUAGCCGCUGGGGACAAGGCAGAGCCAUCUGGUAAAGUGAACUGGGGGGCAACA